rnacentral:rRNA from 1 species
UCCAGACUCCUACGGGAGGCAGCAGUGGGGGAUAUUGCACAAUGGGGGGAACCCUGAUGCAGCGACGCCGCGUGGGUGAAGGAGCGUUUCGGCGCGUAAAGCCCUAUCGGCAGGGAAGAAGGAGGACGGUACCUGACUAAGAAGCCCCGGCUAACUACGUGCCAGCAGCCGCGGUAAUACGUAGGGGGCAAGCGUUAUCCGGAUUUACUGGGUGUAAAGGGGGCGCAGACGGCAGCGCAAGCCAGGAGUGAAAGCCCGGGGCCCAACCCCGGGACUGCUCUUGGAACUGCGCGGCUGGAGUGCAGGAGGGGCAGGCGGAAUUCCUGGUGUAGCGGUGAAAUGCGUAGAUAUCAGGAGGAACACCGGUGGCGAAGGCGGCCUGCUGGACUGCGACUGACGUUGAGGCCCGAAAGCGUGGGGAGCAAACAGGAUUAGAUACCCUGGUAAAG